UACGGGGGGGGCAAGCGUUGUUCGGAAUUACUGGGCGUAAAGGGCUCGUAGGUGGCCAACUAAGUCAGACGUGAAAUCCCUCGGCUUAACCGGGGAACUGCAUCUGAUACUGGAUGGCUUGAGUUUGGGAGAGGGAUGCGGAAUUCCAGGUGUAGCGGUGAAAUGCGUAGAUAUCUGGAGGAACACCGGUGGCGAAGGCGGCAUCCUGGACCGGUAUUGACGCUGAGGCGCGAAAGCCAGGGGAGCAAACGGG
rnacentral:rRNA from 1 species